CCUACGGGUGGCAGCAGUGAGGAAUAUUGGGCAAUGGUCGCAAGACUGACCCAGCAACGCCGCGUGAAGGAAGAAGGCAUACGGUAUGUAAACUUCUUUUUGCCGGGACGCAACAAGUGACGGUACCCGACGAAUAAGCCACGGCUAACUACGUGCCAAGAGCCGCGGUAAGCCGUAGGGGGCAAGCGUUAUCCGGAUUUAUUGGGUGUAAAGGGCGUGUAGGCGGGAAUGCAAGUCAGAGGUGAAAACUAUGGGCUCAACCCACAGCCUGCAGUUGAAACUGUAAGUCUUGAGUGCUGGAGAGGUAAUCGGAAUGCCGGGUGUAGCGGUGAAAUGCGUAGAUAUACGGAGGAACACCAGUGGCGAAGGCGGAUUGCUGGACAGAAACUGACGCUGAGGCGCGAAAGCGUGGGGAGCAAACAGGAUUAGAUACCCUAGUAGUC
rnacentral:rRNA from 1 species